UUACGGGAGGCAGCAGUAGGGAAUCUUCCACAAUGGACGAAAGUCUGAUGGAGCAACGCCGCGUGAGUGAAGAAGGGUUUCGGCUCGUAAAGCUCUGUUGGUAGUGAAGAAAGAUAGAGGUAGUAACUGGCCUUUAUUGAC
rnacentral:rRNA from 1 species